AGUUGGAAUGCCUAAAAACUCCUACCAGGAUUGGGACUCUGAUAUGCUGGGAAUUCUGUAUCCAUUAUUUGUCAUUUUUUACUAUAUGUUCGCUUUUUGCAUUUCUCUCCACAGACUGUACAGACUUUUCUAUACAAACUACUCUGUAUAACUUUUUUUUUUCAUUGUCAGUGUAACUUUUUUUGUGCACCACCACAUUCUCGUUGUGCAGUGUUUUCUACCAGCAAAGGAAGGGUAUUUUUCUGUUCUGUUUAGAUUUGUUCAUAGAUUCCAAGGCUAAAAGAGAGCAUUGUGAUCAUCUGGUAUGGCCUCCUGUAUAACACAGACCAUAGAACUUCCCCAAAGGAGUAUAUCUUUUAGAAAAACAUCCAGUCUUGAUUUAAAAAUUGUCAGUGAUGGAGAAUCCACCACAACAUUUGAAGUUGUUCCAGUGGUUAAUUAUGCUCAUUGUUAAAAAUGUAUACCUUAUCUCUAGUCUGAAUUUCUCUAGCUUCAAUUUCCAACCAUUGGAUUGUGUUAUACCUUUCUCAGCUAGAUUGAAGAGCCCAUUUUAAAUAUUUGUUCUCCAUGUAGGUACUUAUAGAUUGUAAUCAAGUUAACCCUUAACCUUCUCUUUGUUAGACUCAAUCCAUUCAGCUUAUUGCUAUAAGGCGUGUUUUCUAACCCUUAAACAUUCUCACUGCUCUUCUCUGAACCAUCUCCAAUUUAUCAACAUUUUUCUUGAACUGUGGACACCAGAAGUGGAGACAGCAUUCCAGCAGUGGUUGCACCAGUCCCAAAUACAGAGGUAAAAUAACCUCUCUACUACUCAUGAGCCACAGUGUCACACUGGGAGCUCAUAGUCAGCUGAUUAUCACAACAUCCAAAUCUUUUUCAGAGUCACUGCUUCCCAGGAUAGAGUCCUCCAUCAGGACACUGAAAAAAACCUCUGGAAGCAGAAUCUUGACCUGAUGGUCAAGGGAGUUGUGGGACUUCCUACAGCAGUUCAACGUUUGGCUUUACCAUGGCAGGAAGAACUGUGUUGUUGAUUCGUGGAAGAGGUAAAGACGCGUGCCCUCAGGAGAAGAAAAGUGUGACACCUCAGAGGGGGGUUUGUAAAGUAUUGAGCUGUUUCACUGUUUAAUGCUACAUCUAUGUCAAAUUGUUGAGUUUGUCCCUCUUCAAUUUUAACUAAAGGUAUGUCUACACUGAGGGUGUAGUUCCCAUCUUGAGAUUAUACCUGCACUAGUUCUGAUUGAACUAGCAUGCUAAAAAUAGUGUAGCCACAGCAGGGCAAGCAGCUAGUCGCCCCAAGCAUAAUCCUGUCAAAAACUCUAGUUAUGUACUCAGGGUGGCUAGCCCCUCCUGUGGCUACACGCUAUUUUUAGCACGCUAGCUUGAUCAGAACUGGAGUGGGUAUGUCUCCUCAAGCUGGGAAUUAUACCACCCCACUUGAAGGGUGGAGGUAUACUGUGUAAUUGGCUCCAAACCACAUUAGCCAGAAAACUAAGUACUGCUAAGGAAAAACUGGAGAGAGACUUUUUUUUAUAGCCCCAUUGCUUUCUAAAACUACAAAUUACCUCCCCGAGUUCUCUGUCAGCACUCUUCCUGGGGACUCUGGCUCCAGUGUGGCCCUAAUGGCCCUCCACCAUAUAUGAGGGCAUUCAAGGCCCCUGUGAGAGAUUUGAUUCUAGUGCAUGCUUACAGCCUCCGACAGUGCUAUUGUAAUAUAGACAAUAACAGUCCAAAACAUUACACCUGGGUUAGCUUAUGGAUUCCUGCAGAGAUGGAGCAUUUUUGUUGGAGCUGGUUGGACAAGGCUUUUUCCUUCAAUGAAAAACUUCAUUUUUGGCAAAAAAUUAAAAACCAAAAUAUCAGUUUUCAGGCAUUCAGCGUUUCAAUGAAAAAUUAAAAAUUUCAAUGAAGGGCAGACAAAAUUAGCGAAAAAUUUGCUGUAGUCAAAACCCAAUUUUCAAUCAAAAAAUAAUUUAGAUGGAAAAAUCUUUGACCAGCCCUAGUUUUUGUACAUUAUUGACUUUAAUCUUGUACAGUUUUGGGAAUUUUUUUCCUCCUUAUUUAACCAGUCAUGUAGUAGUUACCGGUAGUUAAACUUGACAGAGCAGUGAUGCUUACAAAAUUAAUCAGUAGCAGUGAGCGUUACAGAUUUUAGCCUGUUUCUGGUUGAUCUGGUUGGUAUGUAAUGAGGAGAAUAGUAGUAGAUUGCCAUUUGGUCUUCCAAACCAUACAUAAUGUAUUAUCCAAGAUUACCAAACGAAGUGUAACAAUUAUUUUUGAAGUUUGGUUCUUAUGUGUAUGUCUCCAUGUCAGUAGAUGCUGUGCUGUAAUUUUGUUUUGGGUUUGUGAAGCUAUUAUUAAUAUAAUGAUGAGUAUUAUAAGACAUCCAUUGUUGGAAUAUCUGGGCACUCUUAAAAUGGCUUAGAUUAAAAGCAAUAACACUUCUACAGUAUGGCAAGCAAAUGCACCAUAUGCCUCCUUUUACAGAACAGAGACAAAAUGUAGGUUUUUGUAAUGGUAAAAGUUAAUAUAUUUGUGUGCAGCAGGCUGUCUUGGUUAUAUGAACCUCAAAUUAUAUGGAUUUUAGUUCUGUCACCUAUAUAAAACUUUACAUAAUGUAAGCAUAACUGAAACAGGCAGCAUUUUCUGUGCAAUUUGAAGGUGACAAACAGUCUGAGUAGAGAAAGAGGACUUGACGGUAGUCAGAAUUGCCCAUUGAGUAUCCCUUCGUUUGCAUAUAAAGGUUAUGUAGUGUCCAGGGUUGGGGCUGCACAGUUGUAGACUGGAAGAACUGGAGGGUGUUAAAUACAGACUUACUGGGACCAUAAAGAGAACAGAGAAUUCUUACAUAGCUAGGAUGUAGAGCAACACUGCUAUGUCCUGAUUUGGCUAUAGGCAAUUAAAAGCUGACCCAUUCCUUGGGACUAGUUCGAUGUGUAUGUGUCAAUCAGAAGAGUCUGAUAUUUGCAUAAGAUCCUAAUAUUUUGGCAUCAAAGUGCUGCAAUUCUUAAUAACAAAUUUUCAUUUAUGUAUUGCAGUGGUUUUCAACCUUUUUUCAUUUGCAGACCCCUAAAAAAAUUCCAAAUGGAGGGCUACACCUAUUUGGAAAUCUUAGACAUAUAGUCUGUGGAUCCCCAGGGGUCCACAGACCACAGGCUGAAAACUACUGUUCUGUGGUAAUGACAACCUUUGCAGAUCCCUUAGACAUAGUCUGUGGAGAAAACCACUGAUGUACUGUAAAAUAACAGAACACAUCAGAAAUCCGAGAUAAAAAAAAUUUAAUCUCUCUGUGGAAACAGUGCACUG